rnacentral:tRNA from 1 species
GGCCCUGUGGUGAAUUUCAUGUUGAAUUGCAAAUUCAGAGAAGCAGCUUCAACUCUGCCGGGGCUU